CCUCUUCAACUGGCGGCCGAUCCCGCCUAUAUAGGGUGUGCCGGAGGCAUCCGGCUAUGGCGAUAAACGGGGCGUGGAAUAAGCGGACCGGACCCGGGGGCAGUACCCGGCGCCUCCACCACAAGCCCGCGAACGUGUUGCUUCGCGGGCUUCUGAUGGGGGCGAACCAGGAUCGACGGACGUGUAAAGACGCAUCUUUCGCCCGGCAUGGUUCCGCCGUUAUCGGGCCGUAAGCACAGUUGCGAAUGACAACAAUCGUGCACGGAUGGCGAUGGCUGCGUAAUGCAGCCGGAGUGAUCCACUCCUAAAGUCCACGGCUUGCACAAGCCGUGGCGGGGUCCGGAGGGCGCCUGGCAACAGAAGCCCUCCACU
rnacentral:tmRNA from 1 species